rnacentral:SRP_RNA from 1 species
GUCGGGUGCAGUGGCGUGCGCCUGUAAUCCAAGCUGCUGGGAGGCUGAGGCUGGCGGAUCGCUUGAGUUCAGGGGUUCUGGGCUGCAGUGGACUAUGUCGAUUGGGUGUCCACACUAAGUUUGGAAUCGAUAUGGUGCUCCUGGGUGAGCUUGGGACCACCAGGUCGUCUAAGGAGGGGUAAACCGGCCCAGGUCAGAGAUGGAGCAGGCCAAAGCCCCCGUGUCGAUCAGUAGUGGGGUCGCUCCUGUGAGUAGACUCUGCAGUGCAGCCUGAGCGAGACUCAGACUUU